AACAUCAAUUAUAAACAAAUUUCUCUUUCUGAAGUGCAUUAACAAUAUGGAUCCAUAAAUAUAAUUAAAUCAGACAAUUGAUGUUAGGUAAGAUGUGUUUAGAAAGUCUUCAGGGGUCAUCGGUCUUGUACACAAAGGGCUCACUGUCCAGUCAUUUGAAGACCAAGAUAAGCAAGAGGACUUAGGUGUGGAAGGAAAAUUUGCUGCUACACUGGCCCUUGGUGGAGAACCUAUUAUGUUAAUUUUAUGUUCUGUCUAAAAAGGAUUUCAAUCAAAUUUAGCACUACAACACAAAACAACUCAAUGGCUCUGUUAUGCUGGAGCAUUUAUUUUUAUGCACUAGGUGGUGGAGGCAUUAUUGUUUCCCGUUGUCCAUGUACCCAUACACCUGUCUGCCUGAGGUUCUUGUUAGCGCAAUAUCUUAAGAAUGAGCGGUUGAUUGUUGGUAGGAUUUUUAUGGAAUUACCAUUGUAACCAGCAGAUGAACUGAUUAAAUUUUGGAAUUGAUCCAAACAGGGUCAACGUCACAGCAAGGUCAAAUGUCUGAAAUUGUGUAUAUAUAUUUUUUUUUUCAAUAACUUCCUUUCUAUUUGAAGGGUAAUUCUGGCAUGCAAAUUAGUAACAAGAAGGAUUAGACUUGUUGGCAGCAGAGGCAUCUCUGUCAACACAGUUGUUGUCACGUUCUGCUUGUUGCUGAUGUGGUUUGGGUGCACUUGGCCCCUUAAAGGGAAGCAUCACUGCAAAUCAAUACAGAGUUCUUCUGACUGAUCACCUAUAUGCUAUGAUGAAACAUGUCAAAGACACGUCGAAUCUGUGCCAAGGCACACUCAUACUGUUCUAGUGGUUUGUCUAAGUCUAAUUUAUCUUAUCUUCUUUAUCUAAUCUAAACUAAUCUUACUCAUUUGUCACCCAUCUGUUAGUGAAGAUCUUUUAGUGAAAAUUUCUGUAAAAAAUAAUGUGAGCAAGAGUUAGUAAAUUGUUAUAUUGCUGAGAUAUAAGCACGUUUGGAGUUUUAGGCUGCCUUGGAAGAUCAGAAACUAAAUAUAUCAUGCACAGUGAAUUGUAAUAUUGUAGUGUUAGGUUUGAAUGCUUUAAAGAUAAUCCACACUUCAGCAGUUGCUUUGGGUUUAGUUUCAGGCCUCAAAAUGAAAUAUACAACUAGUUAACUAUUUCACCAACAAAUCUAACUUACUGUUGGAUAUUAAGGGCUUGUGUCAGGAAAAGCAUGUUACUUGGACUUUAAUACAAUUAAAAAGUGACUUUAUAAGACAUGUGCAAUGGCUUAUUAUUACAAUGUUUAGCUCACUUUUAGCUUUAGUUAGCCUUUUAUCUUAAUCAGGUCUAUCAGAGGAACAAAAUGGUGAACACUAUGACGCUGGACUAGGCAAAAUAUAAUACACAUGCAAAGACCUGACCCACAUCGAACACUGUCUCAUCUCAGUUUUGAUCAAGUAGAACCCUUAACUGCUAUAAAUUACGCUACAUGGCCAAAAGUAUGUGGACACCUGGCCAUCACACCCAUAUGUGGGCCUUCCCCAAAUUGUUGCCACAAAGUUGGAAUCCAUUACAAUUUUAGUUCAUCGGAACUAAGGGGCUCAAAUAUGUUCCUGCAUGACAAUGCUCCUGUGCACAAAGCAAGAUCAUAAAGACAUGGUUUGCUGAUGUUGGAAUGGAAGAACUCGAGUGGCCUGCAGAGAGCCCUGACCUCAACCCCACUGAACACUUUUGGGACAAAUUGAAUUGCAGGCCUUCUCACUCAGCAUCAGUGCCCGACCUCACUAAUGCUCUUUUGGAUGAAUGUGAACAAAUCCCUAUAGCCACAUUCCAAACUAUAGUGGAAAUGCUUCUCAGAAGAAUUUAGGCUCCAGGUUAACGCUGAUGGCUCUGGAAUGGGAUGUUCGACAAGAUGGUGUGAUGGUCAGGUGUCCACACAGUUUUGGCCAUAGUGUAUGUUUUUAAAUUCAUAUUUUUGUGGAAUGUGUAGGCAUUGAAAAAGAAUGCCAUUUACUGUGUCAAGUGACUGCAGACCAGAAGUGCAUCCUUCUCAUCUGCUUCUCAUCGAGCCAACACAGGUUCCGAGUGGCACGGAACCCUGGCAGUUAUAGGGAGUAACCUGGACACAAUCUGGUCUCAUGAGGUAUAGGACUCAUCAUCAUUAAUCUGAAAGGUGCUCAGAGAUGAUUGCUUGAGAGGGACAAUGUUAACUUUAUAGCAUCUGGAAGAAGUGCAAAGUAUUAUGUAUUGUGUAUUAUGGAAUGUCCCAGUGGCAUGUCCAAGCAAGCUCACCCUCACUGAAGGCUGCAGUGUCAGUCAGCUGAAUAACAAAGUUGGGUGAUAUGGCCAUGGACAGAAAUCCCAAACUGAUUGUUAGCAAAUUUUCAGAGACACCCAUUUCAAAUAAGCAUCACACAUAGACUCUUUAGGUGGGUUCAUACAGAACACUUGCACAAGGGGGCACUCCAACAUAGUCCUCCUAGGGAACCGUGGCGAAUGGGAGCACCUUUUCCCUAUUAGAAUGGCAAUAUUAAUUUAUUAUUAAUGCAGCCAGUGUCUAGAUCCCUUAGAAUCCAAAGAUGGGUUCCAGUUAUGUAUUUACACUCACUCAUCUAUCUCAUUGACCAAAGCCUGCAUCCAUACUCUGUGGUGCAGUUUCAAGCUAUUAGAAUAUUGCAUUGCAUACAGCAGGCAAUGGCAAUACAUUAGUUGCAACACCUAGAUCAGAAAAACUCUCCACCAGCUUGGUUUAUACAUGGCAUCAGGUGUUGUUGGCACAAUUCAACCACAUACUGUGUGUAUGUAUGUUCUGUAAUGGACAGGCAUUCCAUCUAGAGUGUAUCUCUGCCUUGCAUGCAUGUUGACAUUGGCAAGUUAAGUCCUGAAGUGACGUAAUUAGCCGGUUUGAUGAGUUUUCCAGGGACAGUAGACAGGUCUGUGCAUGAUAGUGUUCAUUCCGUACCUGCAUUAUUCGCAAUGCUUUAUUGUUGAGAGCCAGCAAUUUACGCAUUAGAGUUGUCUCAGUAAGUAAAGUCACACAUUUCCCGCUUCUACGCCAGAAAAACGAAAUCCCAAGUUCGGGCAUGAAAAGCUAACCCUCUUAUUAUCAUAUUCUUCCUUGUGGUGUCAUAGGUUUAACACUGAACAUGUGGGAGUUUUGGCUUCUGCUCUUAGCUGGUAAUUUUAUAGCCGAGUCCUGGAACCUUAAUAUCAAUCAUCUAGAGGUGACAUAUGGCCAGCAGCUAAGUAUCACGAUAACAAGUGCGACUCAGAAAAUAGAGUUUACAUCUAUGAAUAAACUGCGGUCGUAUAUUAUCUGGUCCAGACGUAUCCAGCCCAAAAAGGGACAAGUGAUAGUAUCAGGGGAAGAAAGACGCUUCAUAAUUAAUUCUGUCACAUUUGAUGACCAGGGAAACUACACAGAGUGGAACUUCUGGGAUAAAGUGGCUUCAGUCCAUGUAGUGAAGGUUCUCUCUAAAAGGCGUAUCCAGGGUUGUAUGCCUGGUAAAAAUCUUAGCAUUUCCCUGGAUGGCCUUUCAAAGGAUGACGUUAAACUACAGUUCUCCAGCAAAGAUUUCAACCUCACUCUGGUGGAGCGUGGCUUGCCUGUGGGCAACAAUCAUUCUGGAUAUUGGGGACGAAUUCAAGUAACUACCAAAAAUAUCCAAGUUCUUAUUGUUGAUGGUUCUGAUGUGGGGAAGUAUACACUCACUGACCGUGAAAAUAAUACAGUCAUGAUCGUCACUCUGAACAUGGCUGGCUGUGAACUUAAGACCACUCAACUGAAACUGAUGCACGGCGAAGAGUUUAGUAUCAAGCUGCCGAUUUGGUUUAAGAAGCUGGAGUUUAGCUCAGUGAAUGAAGUACAAUCUGUUAUCUGGCCCAGCUGUGCUCAGAACACAAGGAAAUAUGUUAAAGGAUCAGGUUUUCAAAGGCAAUUUAUAAUUAGUCCUGUAACAUUUAAUGAUCAAGGAACCUACACACAGUGGAACUACAGGAACAAAGCGUCAUCUAUUUGUAAACUGGAGGUUGUCUAUGCAGACCAUGUCCAGGAUUGUGUAGCUGGUAAGAAUCUCAGCAUUUCACUGGAUGGCCUUUCAAAAGACGAUGUCACGCUGCGUUUCACCAACCACGAAUUCAACGUCACUCUGGCGGAGCAUGGUACCCCUGUGGGCAACUUACAUAAACACUUCUCAGACAGGAUCAAGGUGACUAGCAGCGAAAUCCUGGUGCUCAACAUUGAAACAUCUCAUAUGGGCAGCUACACACUCACUGAUCGUGAAGAUCGCAAGGUCAAGGUCAUUACCCCGAACUUUGUCUCUCAACCAAAUCCUCUGCUAGCUCUGUUGCUGUUGCUUUGUAUACCACCCUGUGUUUGCUGCUGCUAUGGGAAUAUGAUCUAUAAAAAAUGCACCCAAAAGACCACCACCACCAUCACCACCACCACCACCACCACUGUGAGCGCAGUGAAGUUUGAAAACCAAAGUCCACUUCUUGCAUCUUCACCAGGCCACAUGAGCACUGAAGCUCCUGCAGACAGCACACUGCUGGCACUACUGUCAAAGCUGGUGUUGUAGAAAAUUAAUCAACACCUUCUGACCAAUCAGAUUUGAGAAUUCAACAGCGCUGUGGUGCAGUCUCCAGCCCCAAGCACUGACUGAUGUCUGGACCUCUUUGGAUUUCACUGUCCAAUUUAACAUUAACAUGGGAUAGAAGUCCAACUCCAUUUUCUUUCUGCAGCCUUCUAUGCUAUCUUACAUGGCCUUCAGGGGGAAAACAGGGAUAGGUAGACACAGUCACUCUGCAGUGUUGAUCCAGAGGUUAGUUUUAUGAGUGUAGUUUAAUUUGCGGGUUUAGUCAAUGAGAUUGACUAAAUUGCUCAACAUUGCCAGGAGGUUUUUUUUUUUUUUUUUUUUGGAUUGUGAAAUUUGCAAAUGGCAACAGCUGGAUGAACUGUCAGUCUAGCAAUAGAGUUAACUCUGUACAGUUUGUAAUGUGUCUAAACUUCAAGUUUAAGGAUAUCAUGCAAAAAUAGCCGAAUUGCUAGGAUGGAUGAAUGGAUGGAUGGAUGGAUGAAUGGAUGGAUGUACUUUAUUGAUCGCCAAGGAAAUUUGAGGAUUUUAUAUAAUCAGUUCUAUAACAUGCCACUUCUUAUAUCUUUACACCUUUAUUCUUAGGGUUCUCUUUAAAGCCCAUCACACAUUAUGCAAACCAACAAAACUAUGGAGAAGAUUCUGUGCCAGAGAGAAAACCAGUCACUCCAGUGAUACACAAAUAGUAUUGCUUUUCAUUUAUGACCUGCAGAAUACAUACCACAAUGAACAUUGAAUGUUCCUUGCAUUUCUGUGAUGGCUUUAGACACAGUGGAAACCCUUGUUUUUCUUGCACUGACUUCCUGUAGCUAACCCAAUCCUGAUGCCUGCCUACAAAGCAAAAAAAUCUGCCACCCUUGUCUGAUGGCCCCAUGCUUUCAGCCCUCAGAGCCUCAAGCACAGUUCAGAUUUUCCAAGACACAACGUAGACAAGCAACAUGAUUCUGCUCUGUACUGGUGUUUAGGUGUUGGAAUGAAUGCUUGCUGUCUUUAAAUGCACACUAAGGAUUUUAAUUAAACUCUACUUAUACCCUUA